GUGGGGAAUAUUGCGCAAUGGGGGAAACCCUGACGCAGCAAUACCGCGUGAGUGAAGAAGGUUUUCGGAUCGUAAAACUCUUUUAUUGGGGAAGAAGAAGUGACGGUACCCAAUGAAGAAGUCCCGGCUAACUACGUGCCAGCAGCCGCGGUAAUACGUAGGGGACAAGCGUUGUCCGGAAUCACUGGGCGUAAAGGGCGCGUAGGCGGUUUUAUAAGUCAGAUGUGAAAGGUACCGGCUCAACCGGUGACGUGCAUUUGAAACUGUAAGACUUGAGUACUGGAGAGGCAAGUGGAAUUCCUAGUGUAGCGGUGAAAUGCGUAGAUAUUAGGAGGAACACCGGUGGCGAAGGCGGCUUGCUGGGCCGUAACUGACGUUGAUGCGCGAAAGCGUGGGGAGCGAACAGGAUUAGAAACCCGGGUAGUCC
rnacentral:rRNA from 1 species